GAUCAUGGCUCAGGACGAACGCUGGCGGCGUGCUUAACACAUGCAAGUCGAACGGGGCACCUUUGAAAGAGACUUCGGUCAAUGGAUGAGACUGCCUAGUGGCGGACGGGUGAGUAACGCGUGAGGAACCUGCCUUUCAGAGGGGGGACAACAGUUGGAAACGACUGCUAAUACCGCAUGAUGCAUGAUCAGGGCAUCCUGGACAUGCCAAAGAUUUAUCGCUGAAAGA
rnacentral:rRNA from 1 species